rnacentral:rRNA from 1 species
UACAGAGGGUGCGAACGUUGCUCGGAAUUACUGGGCGUAAAGCGCGUGUAGGCGGGGUCGCAAGUCAGAUGUGAAAGCCCCGGGCUCAACCGGGGAACUGCGCUUGAAACUGUUAGGCUCGAGUCAGCUAGAGGUACACGGAACUUCCAGUGGAGCGGUGAAAUGUGUUGAUAUUGGAAGGAACACCGGAGGCGAAAGCGGUGUACUGGGGCUGGUCUGACGCUGAGGCACGAAAGCCAGGGGAGCGAACGGG